rnacentral:rRNA from 1 species
GACGAACGCUGGCGGCGUGCUUAACACAUGCAAGUCGAACGGAAAGGCCCUGCUUUUGUGGGGUGCUCGAGUGGCGAACGGGUGAGUAACACGUGAGUAACCUGCCCUUGACUUUGGGAUAACUUCAGGAAACUGGGGCUAAUACCGGAUAGGAGCUCCUGCUGCAUGGUGGGGGUUGGAAAGUUUCGGCGGUUGGGGAUGGACUCGCGGCUUAUCAGCUUGUUGGUGGGGUAGUGGCUUACCAAGGCUUUGACGGGUAGCCGGCCUGAGAGGGUGACCGGCCACAUAGGGACUGGGAUACGGCCCGGACUCCUACGGGAGGCAGCAGUGGGGAAUAUUGCACAAUGGGCGGAAGCCUGAUGCAGCAACGCCGGGUGCGGGAUGACGGCCUUCGGGUUGUAAACCGCUUUCGCCUGUGACGAAGCGUGAGUGACGGUAAUGGGUAAAGAAGCACCGGCUAACUACGUG